UACGUAGGGUGCAAGCGUUGUCCGGAAUUAUUGGGCGUAAAGAGCGUGUAGGCGGUUUGGUAGGUCCGCUGUGAAAACUCGAGGCUCAACCUCGAGACGCCGGUGGAAACCAUCAGACUAGAGUCCGGAAGAGGAGAGUGGAAUUCCUGGUGUAGCGGUGAAAUGCGCAGAUAUCAGGAAGAACACCCGUGGCUAAGGCGGCUCUCUAGUACGGUACUGACGCUGAGACGCGAAAGCGUGGGGGAGCGAACAGG
rnacentral:rRNA from 1 species